rnacentral:rRNA from 1 species
GAUGAACGCUGGCGGCGUGCCUAAUACAUGCAAGUCGAGCGAACAGACGAGGAGCUUGCUCCUCUGACGUUAGCGGCGGACGGGUGAGUAACACGUGGAUAACCUACCUAUAAGACUGGGAUAACUUCGGGAAACCGGAGCUAAUACCGGAUAAUAUAUUGAACCGCAUGGUUCAAUAGUGAAAGCCGGUUUUGCUGUCACUUAUUGAUGGAUCCGCGCCGCAUUAGCUAGUUGGUAAGGUAACGGCUUACCAAGGCAACGAUGCGUAGCCGACCUGAGAGGGUGAUCGGCCACACUGGAACUGAGACACGGUCCAGACUCCUACGGGAGGCAGCAGUAGGGAAUCUUCCGCAAUGGGCGAAAGCUUGACGGAGCAACGCCGCGUGAGUGAAGAAGGUCUUCGGAUCGUAAAACUCUGUUAUUAGGGAAGAACAAAUGUGAAAGUAACUAUGCACGUCUUGACGGUACCUACUCAGAAAGCCACGGCUAACUACGUG